AUUGAACGCUGGCGGCAGGCUUAACACAUGCAAGUCGAGCGGAGAUGAGGUGCUUGCACCUUAUCUUAGCGGCGGACGGGUGAGUAAUGCUUAGGAAUCUGCCUAUUAGUGGGGGACAACAUUCCGAAAGGAAUGCUAAUACCGCAUACGUCCUACGGGAGAAAGCAGGGGAUCUUCGGACCUUGCGCUAAUAGAUGAGCCUAAGUCGGAUUAGCUAGUUGGUGGAGUAAAGGCCUACCAAGGCGACGAUCUGUAGCGGGUCUGAGAGGAUGAGCCGCCACACUGGGACUGAGACACGGCCCAGACGCCUACGGGAGGCAGCAGUGGGGAAUAUUGGACAAUGGGGGGAACCCUGAUCCAGCCAUGCCGCGUGUGUGAAGAAGGCCUUAUGGUUGUAAAGCACUUUAAGCGAGGAGGAGGCUCUUUUGGUUAAUACCCAGAAUGAGUGGACGUUACUCGCAGAAUAAGCACCGGCUAACUCUGUGCCAGCCGCCGCAGUAAGAC
rnacentral:rRNA from 1 species